CAUUUCAGAACUUCCUCCUAUUUCUGCGGUUCCUUAGUUAUAUUAUAUAUAAUAACUUUAAGGAACCGCAGAAAGGGGGAAGUCAAGUUUUGAAAUG